rnacentral:rRNA from 1 species
CAAUAGCGUAUAUUAAAGUUGUUGCAGUUAAAAAGCUCGUAGUUGGAUUUCUGGUCGGAAGCUCCUGUCCUCUGAUGAGCGUACAAGUGCGUCCUACCAUCCUUCUGUUAACCUUUAAGGCUUUCGCGGCUUUCUAGGGGCUCAGAUAUUUUACCUUGAGAAAAUUAGAGUGUUUCAGGCAGGCUAGCGCCGGAAUACAUUAACAUGGAAUAAUGGAAUAGGACUUUUGCCUCUUCUGUUGGUCAUGAGGCUCGAGUAAUGAUUAAUAGGGAUAGUUGGGGGCAUUAGUACUUAACUGUCAGAGGUGAAAUUCUCGGAUUUGUUAAAGACUAACUUAUGCGAAAGCAUUUGCCAAGGAUGUUUNCAUUAA